GGCGCUGAAACACCGUUUCCCGUACGAUCGCUGAAGUUAAGCAACGUUGAGCCUGAUCAGUACCUAGAAAGGUGACUGCCUGGGAAUACCAGGUGCUGUAAG